rnacentral:lncRNA from 1 species
CGUUUCCCUUUUUGUUUUUGGCCUUCAGGGCUUUGUAAUGUGUACUUCACCAAUGAAAUGAAAAUGAAGUUGUCUAUUACCUUGUCCAUUUUGGUGUUGAGUUGUCAUUUACCGAACUUCUUUUGUCUUUCAUCCUGUUCGAUGUCGACGUUGUUUGAAGAUUCCUGAUCGUCACUGUGCUGAUUCACCCUUUGGGAUCGAAGAUUUUCGACAAGGGUCUUCUUCCUCGUUGAGG